GAUGAAUUUGGUGCUUGCACCAAAUGAAACUAGAUACAAGCGAGCGGCGGACGGGUGAGUAACACGUGGGUAACCUGCCCAAGAGACUGGGAUAACACCUGGAAACAGAUGCUAAUACCGGAUAACAACACUAGACGCAUGUCUAGAGUUUAAAAGAUGGUUCUGCUAUCACUCUUGGAUGGACCUGCGGUGCAUUAGCUAGUUGGUAGGGUAACGGCUUACCAAGGCAAUGAUGCAUAGCCGAGUUGAGAGACUGAUCGGCCACAUUGGGACUGAGACACGGCCCAAACUCCUACGGGAGGCAGCAGUAGGGAAUCUUCCACAAUGGACGCAAGUCUGAUGGAGCAACGCCGCGUGAGUGAAGAAGGGUUUCGGCUCGUAAAGCUCUGUUGGUGGUGAAGAAAGAUAGAGGUAGUAACUGGCCUUUAUUUGACGGUAAUUACUUAGAAAGUCACGGCUAACUACGUGCCAGCAGCCGCGGUAAUACGUAGGUGGCAAGCGUUGUCCGGAUUUAUUGGGCGUAAAGCGAGUGCAGGCGGUUCAAUAAGUCUGAUGUGAAAGCCUUCGGCUCAACCGGAGAAUUGCAUCAGAAACUGUUGAACUUGAGUGCAGAAGAGGAGAGUGGAACUCCAUGUGUAGCGGUGGAAUGCGUAGAUAUAUGGAAGAACACCAGUGGCGAAGGCGGCUCUCUGGUCUGCAACUGACGCUGAGGCU
rnacentral:rRNA from 1 species